rnacentral:lncRNA from 1 species
CCUGAUCCUCAGCUACUCCAAAGUCCUUUUUCUUAUCGGUACCAACUUCAUUCUUAAUCUUCUGCAAAAAUGAGUCUUUAUUUUGUGCUUCUAUAAUUCGAUCUCUAAGAGUAGGUCGAAUUAUUAAAGCUGCUAGACGAGCAGUGACUUGUCCUGGUGUGGUAACCACUUCGAUCUGCAACUUUCCCAAGUCCUUGACUAACUCCACUUGAGACGUGGGUAGUGACGUCAAUUGUCCCAUUGAUUUUCUACUUAGAG